AUUGAACGCUGGCGGCAGGCCUAACACAUGCAAGUCGAGCGAGCGGCGGACGGGUGAGCACUGUAUGGGGACUGCCCGGUAGAGGGGGUUAACUACUGGAAACGGUGGCUAAUACCGCAUACUAUCGGAUAACCCAUAUGGGAUUAGCUAGUAGGUGGGGUACAGGCUCACCUAGGCGACGAUCUCUAGAUGGUCUGAGAGGAUGAUUCGCCACACUGGGACCGAGACACGGCCCAGACUCCUACGGAGGCAGCAGUGGGGAAUAUUGCACAAUUGGCGCAAGCCUGAUGCAGACAUGCCGCGUGUAUGAAGAAGGCCUUAGGGUUGUAAAGUACUUUCAGCAGGGAGGCGUUACCCGCAGGAGAAGCACCGGCGAACUCCGAGCCAGCAGCCGCGGUAAUUC
rnacentral:rRNA from 1 species